rnacentral:sRNA from 1 species
AUACACAUCGAUAUAUAUUAUUAUGAACUGGGAGUUUGCCAAUGUGUUAUUAAUUGUUAAAACUUGAAAAAUAAAAGUGGUAUGGUUUGAAUGGCAGAUGUGCGGAAAGCAAACGAUGCGAGGCUU